UACGGAGGGUGCAAACGUUGCUCGGAAUCAUUGGGCGUAAAGCGCACGUAGGCGGCCUGUUAAGUCGGGUGUGAAAGCCCUGGGCUCAACCCAGGAAGUGCACUCGAAACUGGCGGGCUUGAAUAUGGAAGAGGGUCGCGGAAUUCCCGGUGUAGAGGUGAAAUUCGUAGAUAUCGUGAGGAACACCAGAGGCGAAGGCGGCUACCUGGACAAUUGCUGACGCUCAGGCACGAAAGCGUGGGGAGCAAAAGGG
rnacentral:rRNA from 1 species